rnacentral:tRNA from 1 species
GAGGGUAUAGCUCAAGUGGUAGAGCGUGUGCUUAACACGCAUGAGGUCCUGGGUUCAAUCCCUAGUACCUCCU